rnacentral:rRNA from 1 species
UACGUAGGGGGCGAGCGUUGUCCGGAGUUACUGGGCGUAAAGGGCACGCAGGCGGUGCGGCGCGUUUCGCGUGACAGCGGAGGGCUUAACUCUCCGAGGAUGCGAAAGACGGCGGCACUUGAGGGCCAGAGAGGGACACGGAAUUCCGGGUGGAGUGGUGAAAUGCGUAGAGAUCCGGAGGAACACCGAAGGCGAAGGCAGUGUCCUGGCUGGUGACUGACGCUGAGGUGCGAAAGCGUGGGGAGCGAACAGG